rfam:Streptomyces malaysiense strain MTSC 136 52, whole genome shotgun sequence.
GUGGCGGCUCAUAGGUGCCUGCCCCGGACGAGAUGUGCGCCGUACCCGGCCCGCCAAGACGACGCACU